rnacentral:lncRNA from 1 species
AGGUCCCGUCGUAGCUCUCAAAUUGAGAGAGCUUGAAGUUCGGUGGGAUCGGUUCCUGCAUAAUCAUUUGAGAGAAAGGAGGGUCAGUACAGAUAUCCUCAACGUAAGCAGGGGGAGCAUGGCAGAGCUCUUCGAUCCAUCGGUUCAUCUCCUAGAAUCUUUGAUCCAGGAGAUCCUCUCGACUACGAGUCUUGAAGGUCUUUUGGCAGAAUGAAGGUAGGGACCCUCUGGGGUGGAAUCAUGAUCGGACGGAGGGCUCUCCACCCUCUGCUUCUCCUUUUCGAGGAAGACAGGGUGACUGGCCCAAGUGGCCCUCUCGAUAGUCGGAUUCUAGAACUCCGGU